rnacentral:lncRNA from 1 species
UACGUCCAAAAACUAAAAAUGCGCACAGAAGUGUAUUAACCGUGCGUCGCGCACAGCCGUGCGUUGUCCGUGCGACUCUGGAAAUCAGUGGAUAACUAGCAGUGUCUUGUCAGUGUGAAACAGCGACAAGCCUGACUUGUUCAUGAUGGUAAUCUUCUGAUCAAUCAGUUCCAUUACAUUUGCUCUUGUUGUAACAUGAUUUGUUGUCUACUUACGCACCGACCUAAAUGCUUACAAGUUAUAACAACACACAUCUCUCAGGUCAAUAUAAUGCUCGAUCAGAUUGAUCAGUAGCUGAUCUAAAGGCUUCUUUGAAGGGUAUGCCCUGGAUCCCAUCUGCUGAUCUACCUGUUAUCUUUUGCUGCUCAAGUUUAUAUAUGUUCCAAUUUGUUGCUCAAGUUUAUUAUGUUCCAAUUUGUGCUAUAAUUUGGUACUUAUUGUGAAGAUGUAGACUAGCUUGUCAUUAAUGGUGGAGAUAUCUAUCUGAGACCCAGGGAACAGCCUUUCUGGAUCUUUGACUCUUCUUUUCCAAGUUAGUGCAGAUGACUAGAUUCUUUCCUGACAGAAACAAGAUAGAAAAUGGAGAGAUCUCAUGGAGAACGUACGUACCAAGUAAAUUCCGAGCUAAGUUGCCAGCAGAACAGAACUCAUAGACAAGGUUUCGAUCCUUUCUGGAAAGGCCUGCAACGAACUUCUCUGGUGAACGAAUCAGAAGUAUAUGGCUGCAACAUGUUGAAAUCUGAUCCCCAUUCAAAUGACAUGCAUUCAUUCUCAGGCUUGUACAUGUAUGGUUGUCACCGCAACUCAACACAACAUACUUUUGAUCCUUUCUGGAAAUUAAAGACCAUGCUGCUGCAACACAGCACGACCCUUCACUGGCUGCAACAUUAAUUAUACUCCUCCCCCAGCUUCAAUCUGUCACUAAAAGGAAUCAAUACCAACCAUUUGUCAUGAGCUUUAUACUCAUCCACUUGUUGUUCCAAUUUCCAAAUCAGUGCGAUCUGCAAUCCAUUUUGUGAUAAGCCAUAUAUGCAUUGACUCUCUCUGUGCACUUUGUUCAUAUAAAGACAAAUGCAAGUGAAUUGUAUGGACUUACAUUGACUCUCUUUGAGCCCAUAUUAUGGAAGUAUAUGGACUUACGUUGGUCAUUUAGGGUCCAAUGGAAGCACUUGAGA